UACGGGGGGGGGUAAGCGUUGUUCGGAAUUACUGGGCGUAAAGGGCUCGUAGGCGGCCAACUAAGUCGGACGUGAAAUCCCUCAGCUUAACUGGGGAACUGCGUCUGAUACUGGGUGGCUUGAGUUCGGGAGAGGAAUGUGGAAUUCCAGGUGUAGCGGUGAAAUGCGUAGAUAUCUGGAGGAACACCGGUGGCGAAGGCGGCAUUCUGGACCGAAACUGACGCUGAGGCGCGAAAGCCAGGGGAGCAAACGGG
rnacentral:rRNA from 1 species